GGCCUUCUCGCGGCUUUCCCCCGAUAUCUCUCUUUAUUCCAGCUGCCUGAAACUCGGUCCCACGAAUGGCAGGCAGCGUCCAAAAUUCAACCCCGUAAAGCCAGCACCAGCCAAUAAAGCGCACGGAUGGAGGCCACGUGACAGCAGUGGGCCGGCCCUCCGGCUGAGCCCUGAUCUCUAUGGUUUCCGCGGCUCGCUAGAAGGAGUGUGGUCCACCGGAGGACUCCCUACAUUCUUCCUCCAUUACCUCACUGCCUCCGGUGGCUGCUGGGAUACCGGAGGACUCGGGUCCCGGCUCGACUCAGUCCUCCAGCCGCCCGGGGAAUACCUCUAGUUCUUCCCGGCCGCCGCCGCCGCCGCCGCCCCGCCGCUUCCUCCUCCGCCUGCCGGCCUCCUUCGCCCCGUCCCGUCCGCGCAGCGCGUCCGGCCCGCCCGCAGGCCAGCUUCUCUCGGGAGCCCCCACCCAGGCGCAUGGCUCCAUGAAGCAAGAGGAGGAGGCAGAGCGCGAGAGGUCCCGUCCGCCCCAGCCGCGUCUGGGCCAGGAUAAAAGCAAAACCAUAUUCCUGCUGCUGUCAGUUAUGAUGCACUGAGAAAACUUCAGAGACCUAAACUUUUUCCAGAGAAGAGAAGCUUUACUGGUGUUCCAGCCCUAAGCAACCAUCUUUCCUGUGAAAAAUUCCCUCUCGUACUUUAGUUCUGUGGAUCCAAAAUUUAUAGCAUUCUUCUACCACCACAGGGGCUCAUAUGACAUUAACAGACAAGACACUUUUCAGAAAGACAGGUAAGCAACGUGUUGGACCUUCCGGAGCUUCUCAGAAGACAGAGGGUUUUCUUUUGAGGUAAAUUUGAUAGUACAUUUUGAUAGUACGGGAGGCGAUACGGCAUGGUGACAGAAAAGCGCCGGCUUGGUUAGCAGGACCACCUGGCAGGGCUGCAGGCUGUGCCACUUACCAGGCAGGGGACCUUGGGCCAGCUGCUUGGCCUCACUCACCCUGUUUCUCAGCUGCAAUUGGGAUGAACAGACUGCCUGCUUCGGGGUUGCCUAAAACUCACAUUGGUUAAUGAUGUGAAAUGCUUAGCGCAGUGCCUGGCAUAGAGAGAAUUCUCAUUAGAUGAUACCUCAGCUGGGCUUUAGGAGCUACAGAAGAAGCUGCAUCUCCAUGAGCUCAGCGUGUUUCUAGCUUUCCUUUUUGUUUUCUAUUCAACCUUUCACCCAACUCAGCUUCUCAAUCCCUAAAUGACAAAGGUUUGGGAAGGAAGACUUGGACCGAGGCUUGCAUUUGUUUCUGAGAAUUAAACGUUAUGUUUUCUUCAAUCUAAAUAGGUUUGCUUGUACAGCCUUGUUGAAUGGUUUUUUUUUUUUUUCUCCAUGAUAAAUGACUCUCAACUUCUUUUCCCUCAUCUAAUUGCUUAUCUACAUACAAUGCCUGGAAGGAAAUAAAUGUAAUGGCCCGUAGCAACUGGCCUUCAGGUAUCAAGUUUAAGUCCCUUUAAGCAGAACAGCAAAUUGAGCACAGAAUGAACUGGUUUCAUGGUAGCGUACUGCAAUUAGAUGCAAGAAUAGGGAAAGCAGGGUGCUUCAAGUGGUGACACAAUUAGUAUAGCACUGAGGGACUUCUCUUUCCACUUCUUCAACUCCGCCUGCAUUCCGCUGGCUGAAGAGUUGAUGACAUCCCUGAAAAAUCUUCCCUCUCUUGUUUCUCUGAUGCCACCUCUGUGUUCUCCGCCUCACUGGCCACACUUCCUUUACCUCCCAAACUUUUAACUCUGAGUGUCCCAAACUUGUCUCAUCACCUACCCCUGCUGCCCAGCUCCCCAGCCUGUUCCCCUUCUGACACGGGCACUCUCCUUCUGCUCUCUUGGGAGAGAAACAAUGAAGGCCUAUUUGGCACUUUUAUUUCUAUUCAAGGAACCAGACUGUGAACAAGUUUACCAUUUAGUCCUUUGGACUGUGUCUUGAAUUCAUCCCUCUUCUCCAUUCUCACCAGCACCAUCAUCAUGAUGGCUAAUAUUUCCUGAGCACCUUUCAUUCAGGCAUGAUGCCAGGUGCACCAACUUACUUAAUCCUCAUAGCCACCACCUGAGCAAGCUCCUGUUUUAUAAAUGGACCAGUUCUUGUUGCUGUUGUACAAGUUAUUUUCUUUCUAUAACGUCCUCCUUGUCCUCCUUCCACAUUCUUAAAGAAACUUUCCCUUCCUUUAAAGUACUCAGGGAGCCCUGCAUUGCUUCUUGAAGCCUUCUCCAGCUUCAUCAUCUCACAGUGGUCUCUCUUUUCACUAAAUGUCCAAUAUGCUGCACAUAAGUACCCCAAAGUUAGCACAGAAUUGUUCCAUGGCUGUCAUAUAUGUUAAAAAUCAUUAAAAGUUCAUUUUUUCUCCCAUUAUGGGAAGGAUACAUGCUCCUACUAGUAAAUUUAGUUGGUAGAAAAAAAUUAUCACUAUCUAGACUGCUUUCCCUUUAGUCUUUAUGCAUAGCUUUCUGUCUGCCUAUUUUUACUUUGUGUUUGUAACUUACUAUUAUAAAAUAUGCAUCUCUAUGUUCAUUGUCAACAUUAUUUACAAUAACAUGGAGUGGAUUUACAUGUAUUCUCUAUAUUUGGAUUAAAGGAGAUAGAGUAUGUGAAAUUAAAUGGGAGAAGUAUCUGAUACAUAACAGGCAAUACAAAUAUUAUCACAUAGCGUCAAUUUAUUUGUGAAUAUUGAAAGCUCCA
rnacentral:lncRNA from 10 species